ensembl:lncRNA novel transcript
GGGAGUGCGGAGGGGGCGGGGGCGGAGUCGCCAUCUUGGACUCGGUUCGACCAGGUCUGGUGACCGGCGACGAGGGGCCGGGCUCGGCGCCGGGGGUCGGGAACUACUAUCAAUGCCUUUUACAAAAUGAGGUCAUUGGAUUGCAGAGUUGGCUUUCGAGAAGAUUUUGUGGCCUUUCUCAGCUGUCUAGGUGCUGUAGGUGCUGUGUUUCUAUGGCUGCAAGGAUGAAGUGUUCCAGGAAGUCAUGGCAAUUGAGAAGGCGUAGGAGGAAGAAAUCUUGUUGCCUCUUCCCUCAAAAUACAUCCAGAACUUGUCCUCUUUUAUCACCUCCACCGCCCUGACCUUGGCCCAAGCCUCUAUUAUCCACAAUAAUUGAGAUGCUCUCAAGCUGGGCCAGUGGCCAACUGCAGAACGGAGAGUGGCCGAGCAGGGAAGGUCAUAGAAGGCACAGGAUGGGGAAGGACACUGGAGACCAGGUUCCUGUAGGCUUCCAGAGACCACCUGCAUUUGUUGGUUGAUAGCCUCUUCCUCGAAUCACCCUGAUCCUCUGCUUCUGUGGCCACAUUUUCAUCUCUCCAAAUCUGAGUCUUCUGCCUGUCUCCUCUAGGGACCCUUGAGAUGACUUUGGGCCCAUCCAGAUCAUCCAAGAUAAUCUCCCCUUCUCAAGUUUCUUAAUCACUUCGGCAAGGUCUUUUUUGCCACAUAAAGUAAUAUUUGCACUGGGUUCAGGAAUCAGGAUGUGGGCAUCUUUGUGGGGGGAGUCACUAUUCCACCUACCACACAGAGCCCCUUCAACAAGUGAGAUUAGAUGAGAAAAUGUUGGUGAAGCACUGAGCCCAGAGAUAGAGCAUAGUAGGUGUGGAUGCUGGUGAUAGUGAAGGGGUGAAUGGCUGACAAAGACCAGGUGACUAAUUUCACAGCUGCCAGAAAUCAGCCUCCAGGGACACACAAGGAGCUUUGCCACACGCUGAAUCAGAUAAGGCCUCUGACUUUGUUUUGCCCCAGAAGCAGACCUCAAGAAGAGGACUCCAGUGCAAGUAGUUUAUUUAGAAGGCAAGCCCACAAAAAGUGGGAAAGCGAGACAGGCAAGGCAAGGCAAGGAAACCAAUGGAGAAUGCCAUGAAGCUAGUUACCACCAUAGGCAGGUGGAGCUUAAUCCCACUGGGGAAUUGUGGAAAACAGUGUGGAGCUCUGCACCUCAGAGUUAACCUACCUGAGAGGUGACAGGGCUGGGGUAUGGAUGCACCAAUUCCCUUCAGUCUGUUGCAAGUUGUUCCAGGGAGGGGGAGAGUGGAGUUAAUUCACCUACACACCCAUCUGCACACACAUAUAUAAAGCAGGCUCUGCUAUUUACAAUAGCAAAGACUUGGAACCAACCCAAAUGCCCAUCAAUGAUAGACUGGAUAAAGAAAAGGUGGCACAUAUACACCAUGGAAUACUAUGCAGCCAUAAAAAAGAAUGAGUUCAUGUCCUUUGCGGGGACAUGAAUGAAGUUGGAAAUCAUCAUCCUCAGCAAACUAACACAGGAACAUAAAACCAAACACUGCAUGUUCUCACUCAUAAGUGGGAGCUGAACAAUGAUAACACAUGGACAUAGGGAGGGGAAUAUCACACACUGAAGCCUGUCAGGGGGUGGGAGGAAAGGGAAGGGAGAGCAUUAGGACAAAUACCUAAUGCAUGCAGGCCUUAAAACCUAGAUGAUUGGUUGAAAGGUGCAGCAAACCACCAUGGCACAUGUAUACCUAUGUAACAAACCUGCACAUUCAGCACAUGUAUCCCAGAACUUAAAGUAAAAUAAAAUAAGUAAUGAUAGAAAAAAAAUUAAAAAGUAAAGCAGGCUCUGAUGGCCAGAGAAUGCCUACCUGCAAAUAUCCAUAGGUGCUGGCAACUGGAAGUCUGGCUGCGUGCACUGAAAUGGCAAAGAUAGGGGUGCUGCGGCCAGGUACUGGUGGUGUCUGCUACCCCACCUUGAGCCUAUAGUCUUCAUUUCUUGUGGACACUAUCCACAGGCCAAGAUAAUGCAGAAAGAUGAGAAAAUCAAGGAGUCAGCGUCUGCCCAAAGUGAAGGUAAGAGGAUGGCUUGGAAUUCACAGCUGGCAACUGAAGCUGUUGAAAGACAUCACCUUAAUGUUGCUCUCCAGGGCUUGCAGCCCUCUUAGGACAGGUGCUGUCUGCAGGGCGGCCUUGCGGUGACAGUGGUCGCCCCGCUGAAUCCCCAAUGCUGUCUUAUAUUGCCACUUUCCUGGGAGGCUGUCAUCCAUCUCUGAUUUAGACUACCCCGAGGUCUUACGGUUAAGCUGUUGAGUAGGUUUUGUCAUUCUGUAUUAUUUUCCUUUGUACUUUUUGUUCAGGAAGGUUCCUGGCUGUCUUUGGUGUAGUUUGUAUCAUAUCUUCCAAUAAAAUAAACACAUCU